rnacentral:rRNA from 1 species
GAAUAAGAUCUCGUAGGUGACCUGCGGAGGGUCAUUACAAGUGACCCCGGUCUAACCACCGGGAUGUUCAUAACCCUUUGUUGUCCGACUCUGUUGCCUCCGGGGCGACCCUGCCUUCGGGCGGGGGCUCCGGGUGGACACUUCAAACUCUUGCGUAACUUUGCAGUCUGAGUAAACUUAAUUAAUAAAUUAAAACUUUUAACAACGGAUCUCUUGGUUCUGGCAUCGAUGAAGAACGCAGCGAAAUGCGAUAAGUAAUGUGAAUUGCAGAAUUCAGUGAAUCAUCGAAUCUUUGAACGCACAUUGCGCCCCCUGGUAUUCCGGGGGGCAUGCCUGUUCGAGCGUCAUUUCACCACUCAAGCCUCGCUUGGUAUUGGGCAACGCGGUCCGCCGCGUGCCUCAAAUCGACCGGCUGGGUCUUCUGUCCCCUAAGCGUUGUGGAAACUAUUCGCUAAAGGGUGUUCGGGAGGCUACGCCGUAAAACAACCCCAUUUCUAAGGUUGACCUCGGAUCAGGUAGGGAUACCCGCUGAACUUAAGCAUAUCAAUAGUCGGAGGAACUCUGGGGCCUCCCAAAUAAAACUUUCUUAAAUUUGAUCUGAAAUCAGGCGGGAUUACCCGCUGAACUUAAGCAUAUCAAUAAGCGGAGGAA